rnacentral:rRNA from 1 species
CUACGGGAGGCAGCAGUGAGGAAUAUUGGUCAAUGGGCGCAAGCCUGAACCAGCCAUGCCGCGUGCAGGAUGACGGUCCUAUGGAUUGUAAACUGCUUUUGUACAGGAAGAAACACUGGUUCGUGAACCAGCUUGACGGUACUGUAAGAAUAAGGAUCGGCUAACUCCGUGCCAGCAGCCGCGGUAAUACGGAGGAUCCAAGCGUUAUCCGGAAUCAUUGGGUUUAAAGGGUCCGUAGGCGGUCAGAUAAGUCAGUGGUGAAAGCCCAUCGCUCAACGGUGGAACGGCCAUUGAUACUGUCUGACUUGAAUUAUUAGGAAGUAACUAGAAUAUGUAGUGUAGCGGUGAAAUGCUUAGAGAUUACAUGGAAUACCAAUUGCGAAGGCAGGUUACUACUAAUGGAUUGACGCUGAUGGACGAAAGCGUGGGUACGCGAAGCAGGAUUAGAUAUCCCUGGUAGUCCCCCGCCGUAAAUCGAUGGAUAGCUAGCUGUUGGG